GAUGAACGCUGGCGGCGUGCCUAAUACAUGCAAGUCGAACGCUUUGUCUUUAAUUGAUAUGCAGAGCUUGCUCUGAUUUGAUUUUAUCUGACAAAGAGUGGCGAACGGGUGAGUAACACGUGGGUAACCUACCUCUUAGCAGGGGAUAACAUUUGGAAACAAGUGCUAAUACCGUAUAACACUAACAACCGCAUGGUUGUUAGUUGAAAGAUGGUUCUGCUAUCACUAAGAGAUGGACCCGCGGUGCAUUAGCUAGUUGGUAAGGUAAUGGCUUACCAAGGCGAUGAUGCGUAGCCGAGUUGAGAGACUGAUCGGCCACAAUGGGACUGAGACACGGCCCAUACUCCUACGGGAGGCAGCAGUAGGGAAUCUUCCACAAUGGGCGCAAGCCUGAUGGAGCAACGCCGCGUGUGUGAUGAAGGGUUUCGGCUCGUAAAACACUGUUAUAAGAGAAGAACGACAUUGAGAGUAACUGUUCAGUGUGUGACGGUAGCUGAUCAGAAAGGAACGGCUAAAUACGUG
rnacentral:rRNA from 1 species